rnacentral:lncRNA from 1 species
UGGGAUGAGAAAGUCUUAGGCCUCAGCAAAUCUGAGUUUUAAACACUUAGAGAAACAUGAGUUUUUUUAAAAAACAAAGUUGCAGAACCACUUCUUAAUGGUGUUUCUACAUUUUUUGUGUAGAUUCAGUUUUAUACCAGGACUUAUUCUCCUUCAGCUGAACCCCACUGGAUUUUUUGUUUGUUUUGUUUUGUGUUUGUUUAACAUUUUUUCUCAUGUAGAUGUGCUGGUGAAAGUUCUCUUAGCUUUUGUUGCUGGAAUAUAAAUUAUUUUGCUGUCAAUUUAGAAAAAUAUUUUCACAUAUAUAGAAUUCAAAGUAGACGAUCUUAGGAUGUUUCGAUACCUUUUGGAUUAUGUUUUCCUAAUGGUAAAUUAUUCUUUAUUUUUCAUUCUUAUUUUUGUUCCAGGGUUCAUAGUCUACAUUUUUUUCUAUUGCUGCUAUAAUUUUUUUUCUGCUAUUGAUUUAACAAUUUGGUUGUGAGAUUUCUAAUUUGUGGUUACCUUUGUAUUCUGGUUUGGAUUCAUUGAAUUUCUUAGGCUCAUGGGAUAAUAUUAUUCACAAAAUCUGGAUUUUCUUUGUUGAUUAUUCACUCAAAUAUCUUUUCUACCCUUCCCCCAUCCUUUUCUUCACUCUGUAAAUUAGUUUAAAUAUUCAGUUUCCAUUGAUGUCUUUAAAUUUAUUGAUCUUUUUCUCUAGAGUAUAAUUUGGUAUACAUUCCAUUCGGUUGACUUUUCACUUCAGACAUUCUUUUGCAACUUCUGGAAAUGUUGUUUUUCCUUUUUUGUUUCUAUUUCUCUCUCCACUAUGUUAAUGUUUUCUUUUACAUUUUUGUACAUAUUUUCAUAUCUCCAUUAAACUCUUUAUCUUCCAAUUCCAUUAUCUCUGUUGCUUCUGCUUAUAUAUAUCAUUUUCUUGCCUCCUUGGAUUCCUGGUAAUAUUUUAUUUUAUCCUGUACCUUAAAAAUGCUGCAUUUUUGAGUGUCUAGAUUUUGUUGUCUUCCUUAGGAGAAUUUUGUGCAUUGUUCUGCCAGGCAGAUCAGCUUGGACCUUUUAAGAUGUAUUUUUGGUUGUGUGGGGUUUUUUUGGUAUGUAAUUAUUUAUUUUUCCAGCUUUAUGUGAGGGACUGGAGGUGUUAACCAGCCUCAUUGGAGUAAUCCAGGCUUAUUUUUAAGCUUUUUUAUUAUGAAGUUAGAGUGGCCUAUAUUCUCAGGUUAGAAUACCCUCACUCCUAAGGUGUGGUCUUUAUUCAAAUCCUGAACACCCAGAGUUUUCCAUGAAAUCCCAC